UACGUAGGGGGCUAGCGUUGUCCGGAUUUAUUGGGCGUAAAGAGCGUGUAGGCGACCAGGUAGGUCUGGUGUGAAAACUCGAGGCUUAACCUCGAGAUGUCAUCGGAAACCAUCUGGCUAGAGUCCGGAAGAGGAGAGUGGAAUUCCUGGUGUAGCGGUGAAAUGCGCAGAUAUCAGGAAGAACACCAAUGGCGAAAGCAGCUCUCUGGGACGGUACUGACGCUGAGACGCGAAAGCGUGGGGAGCGAACAGG
rnacentral:rRNA from 1 species